AAAAAGGGACGACGGCGUUUAAUACGUAGAAGUUUCUUGGUCUUCAUCGUCGUCCUCUCCUUGGCUUUUGAAGGCUUAAAACCCUUGUGUAUGGCUGGUGCUGUAAAUUUCUCUGUAAAAAAACCCUCGUGGAAUCGAACCCAUUUUUCGUUCCUGCAGAACGAGAAGCUUGUUGAGUCACUCGUAUUUGUACUACUACUACUACUACUACUAUUCAGCGUCCCCAAGAAGUUCCUGAAAAGAACACGUGGACGCUUUGUACCGUAAGAUUGCCCCAGUCGGAGAUCCUAAGGGGUCCGUCGUUCUGGUCCUCGAUUAGUAGGUCCAGGAUGGCCAGUUUGUUGACAAAACUGGUCUCUACGAUAUCAUCAUGAAGCUCAGGCUUUACGGUCGCUUUACCAAUGCUCUUCAGGUUUCUAUGUGUAUGACAGACAAAAAAUAUUAUCCGCUUACACAUGCCCCUGUUGCCAUUCGGCUUGACUUGAUCUCAGAAGUUCAUGGGAUAGAACAAGUUGAGAAUUAUUUUUAAAAUGUUCCAACAAAAUUAAAAUCCCUUCAGGUUUACAGCGCUCUCCUCAAUUGUUAUGCUCGUGCCAAACUAGUGAAGAAAGCAGAGGCUGUUAUACAGCAGAUGAAGCAUAUGGGAUUUGCAAGGUCAAUACCGUCUUAUAACAUUUUGCUUAAGGGCAUUGUCCAUGACAGAAUUACAUAUGCACUUCAAUAGACAAGAAAGAUGGAAACUGAUAGGAUUCUGUCAAGGAUGGAAACUGAUCCAGAAGUUUUGGAUUGGUCUACUUAUUCAGCUGCAGCAAAUGGAUGUAGAAAAGCAGGGCUUGUGGAUAAAGCUUUCUCAAUGUUAAAGAAAUUGGAGGAACUGAUAUUAACUGCGAAGAUAAAGUCUACAGCCUAUGAAUGUAUUCUCACACAAUACACUUCAAUAGACAAGAAAGAUGAAGUGUUAAGAUUAUGGGAACUUUUCAAUAAGAAUCUGAAGGUAUAAUCAGGGCUAUAUCAGCAUGAUAGCCUCUCUAUUGAAGUUUGAUGACAUUGAAAGUGCUGAGAAAAUCUUUGAGGAGUGGGAAUCCCAGAAUUUAAACUAUGAUAUUUGUAUGCCAAAUUUUUUGAUUGCUGCUUAUUGCAGAAAGGUCUUAUUGAACAGGCUGAAAGCCUUUUUAACCAGUUGAUAGAAAAGGGGGGGAAAACCAGAUGUAAAGACAUGGCACUAUUUGGUGUCCAGUUAUUUUGAACAUGAACAAAUGCAGAAGGCUGUUGAAGCUAGAAAACAAGAAAUUUCUGUUGCCAGGUCCUUUUGGAGGCCAAGCAAGUAUUAUUAGGGUGUUUCUCUAGAUUACUUGAAAGGAAAAGGAGAUUUGGAGGGAGCAGAAGAAACUAUCACACUAGUUAGGGAUAAGAGUUUUGUGUCUGAGGAUACUCAUGAGAGAGUGUUGGAUUAUAUUAAAGAUGGGGAAUCAAACGCCGCAUUACCAUUUGUUAUUUUAGUGAAUGCUAUCGAUGAAUACAAAGAACCUUCCACACACUUAGCAGUGGAGGAGGAAGGUAGCUAAAGCAGAAACAUGCCUGAAACAAAUGCCAAAUUAUUUGUAAAAACCUUAGAAGAGUAGCUCAAUGGUGGAACUUUUGAGUAACAUCAUUCACCAAGAUGAAGCUGCUUGAUAAUUUUAUCGAUGAGCUAACUUCUGGUGAUGUUAUGAUUGAAGACUAUAUAACUUCCAUCAAAUUAAUAAUUUUAUCGUUCUCUCUCUGAGAAUCCUCAUGGAGGGUACAAAAAGAGAAGACAGAGUGGGAAAGGAGUGAUCAAAGAAUCUGAUAUCAAGAACCUCAAGAAGAGAUGAAAGAAUUCAAUCUGUCAUAAGAUGAACUCGACGCAACGAGUAAAUUUUUUCAUCAUUCAGCAUAAUUCCUCAUAUUCUUUAUAAUAUUAUUCCUGCUAUUUAUGUGAUUUGGGUGGUGAUAGAAAUGUUGAAAAUGUGCUAUUACUAGUGAAAACAUCUACAAUUUGAUUUCUUGAUUUUUAUAGGGAUUGAGUGAAAUUUAAAUGAAGUGACGAUGCUUUGAAUGUU